rnacentral:rRNA from 1 species
CGCACGGGUGAGUAACACGUAGGUAAUGUGCCUUUGGGUGGGGAAUAACUUAGGGAAACUUAAAGCUAAUACCGCAUAAUGCGAUAACUUCUUCGGAAGAUUUGUUAAAGAUUUAUCGCCUGAAGAGCAGCCUGCGGCAGAUUAGCUAGUUGGUAAGGUAACGGCUUACCAAGGCUACGAUCUGUAUCCGACCUGAGAGGGUGGUCGGACACACUGACACUGAAUAACGGGUCAG